ensembl:lncRNA
GGACCCGCCGCAGCGGCGACAGCGGGGCCGGUGUCGGUGCCUGUGGUGGCCCCAGGAAAGUGUGCGUGGUGACAGUUCGGUGCUCACGCAGCCGUUGUUAACCGGGGUGCCGGGACACCCCCGGCGGGCCUGCGGCAGGCGGCCGCCCGUGCCCCAGCGAACGUUGCCGCAGGGUGGGUGCUCUGACCUCAGCUUUGCUCUGGAAAAUUUUCAGUCUGGUCGGGAGGGCGUUUGGCUGAUGUUGUCCCACCGGUGUCAGUCUCCAGGUGUCGUCUCUGUGCACCCGCUGGGGCAAAGAGCAGCGUGGAGAUAAAGGGGAUUGAGCAACGCAGCGCUGCAAAGGCCCAGCCUGCUGGGUCAGGGGUGAGAGAAAAUCAGCAGAAGACCAACAAAAACCAUGUCCCAGCCCAUCACCGUGUCACACGGGAACAGGGUGAGGGAGCGCUGGGGGAGGACCCCGGUCUGUGACAAAAGGAGGCCAGGAGACACAGCCUGCCCUGGCACUGCCAGCACAGCAUCCAGCCGUGGGGCAGGGGGGAAAGCCUCUGCCAAUCCCUUUUCGUGUUCAAAUGAAGCAAAGGCUGAGCCUGGCCUGAGCUGGGGCACACAGAAGGAGAGCCAGCCUCUCCCUUGAGCUGAGACAUUGUCCCUGCCUGACGUUCAUCAAGGGCUGCUGUUCUACAGCAGAGAACAGCAAGUGAAGAGCAAUGGUUUCAAACCUGUGCUCUGCCAGGUGCAGCUGGUGAGCUGAUGUUGGCAUAUGGUGUGCAGCUGAAUAAGGAGAGACCUGGGGCUAGGGAGAAGGGGAAAAAAGGGCUCAACAUGCUCAGAAAUAAUUUUCAAUGUUACUUCUCUAUUUUACAGCCUUUGUUGCAACAUUGCUCUUUUAGGCAAGGUCCCCUCCUACCCCCCAGAGACCUUCCGUGCUUUUUGCACGGACACAGCUCUGGGGUCCCUCCAUUCUCCUCCUCACCUCCAACCCCUCCCACAGCACCUCAGCACUGCUGUGGCUGUGGCUGCUGGCAUCGCCCUCCUGCCCCGCUGCCCCUGCUCUGCCCCUCUGCUGCAGCUCCGGAGGGUGGGCGAGCAGCUCUGAUCUUCCUGACCUGCUGACAGCUACUGCCAGGGAAAUAAGAAAUGGGGCAAAACUGAGCAAGAAACAUCAGAACUGUCAGCCAGGCUCUUUCUAGGGCUUGACCCUCGGUCCAGAGACCUUCUGAUAAACACUCCAGUGUCUGAGCCGUCCCCACUAGACUCACAGCAUCUCCCCAAAGCUGGUGGCAUUCCAGAGGCAGCUGCUAUAGACCUGGAGUGUGUGAACUGGAAAGUUUGCAAGAAAUCCUGGAAAAGAAGAUAAUUUCCAGGAAGAAAAUUCCUCUGUGAUGUUUUACUGCAGGUCUGAGCUGCAAAGUUGAAGCUUCUACAGUAGAAAGAGAGAGCAGAGUUUAAUUCAUGACAGAGAUGAGCAGUGAGGAUGAGAGUCUUCCCUCCACCUUUUCACCAUGCUGGUCUCCUUCUGUUCCUCUCCCUGUGCCUGGAUUGUUUUACAUAUGAAUGUAGAGGAACCUCGAUGCUAUUGCAUCAGAUUUUUUUUCUCAAAAAUGUUAUAUUCUUACUAAGUAAUUUGGGACUUUUGCUGUCUCCUCCCUCAACUGAAUAGUUCUGAAAAAAAAAAA